rnacentral:tRNA from 1 species
GGAUUAUGGCUCAGAGGAAGAGCGCUUCUCUCGCAUGCAUGAGGCACUGGGUUCAAUCCUCAGCACCA